UGUGGGAGCUGGCUUGCCUGCGAUAGCUAUUUGUCAGUCAACUCAUCAGUGACUGAUGCACCGCUAUCGCAGGCAAGCCAGCUCCCACA
rnacentral:antisense_RNA from 1 species